UAAGGAAUAUUGGGCAAUGGACGCAAGUCUGACCCAGCCAUGCCGCGUGAAGGAUGACGGUCCUCUGGAUUGUAAACUUCUUUUAUCUGGGGCGAAAACCACCCUUUCUAGGGUAUUUGACAGUACCAGAUGAAUAAGCACCGGCUAACUCCGUGCCAGCAGCCGCGGUAAUACGGAGGGUGCAAGCGUUAUCCGGAUUCACUGGGUUUAAAGGGUGCGUAGGCGGGCAGGUAAGUCAGUGGUGAAAUCUUCGAGCUUAACUCGGAAACUGCCGUUGAUACUAUCUGUCUUGAAUUUAGUGGAGGUAAGCGGAAUAUGUCAUGUAGCGGUGAAAUGCUUAGAUAUGACAUAGAACACCAAUUGCGAAGGCAGCUUGCUACACUAUUAUUGACGCUGAGGCACGAAAGCGUGGGGAUCAAACAGG
rnacentral:rRNA from 1 species